rnacentral:lncRNA from 1 species
UCCCCUUAUUUCUCUCUCGAGUGAGAGCCAAAUUAUUGGAAUAUAUUUUUAUUUAAGAAAAUAUAUACUUAUAAAAUAUUUUGUGGAUGGAUAAAUGCUGGUGUUUUAGUAUCAAUAUGGUUCCAGGAACCAUGCAAAAGACUAAGUACUUUGCAUUAUAAAAAUCAGGAUAUUAAGUUACUGAUUUGAAAAAUAUCAAACAAAAAUUAGCAAUUCAGCUUCGACACC